rnacentral:rRNA from 1 species
CCUACGGUGUGCAGCAGUGAGGAAUAUUGGGCAAUGGGCGGGAGCCUGAACCAGCCAAGCCGCGUGAGGGAAGAAGGUACAGCGUAUCGUAAACCUCUUUUGUCAGGGAACAAAGGCGGGGACUAGUCCCCGGAUGAGGGUACCGGAAGAAAAAGCAUCGGCUAACUCCGUGCCAGCAGCCGUGGUAAUACGGGGGAUGCGAGCGUUAUCCGGAUUUAUAGGGUGUAAAGGGUGCGCAGGGGGCAGUGUAAGUCAGCGGGAAAAGACCGGGGCUCAACCCCGGCGAGCCGUUGAAACUGGCGGGCUGGAGUUGGAGAGAGGAUAGCGGAAUGCGAGGUGUAGCGGUGAAAUGCUGAGAUAUCGCGCUGAACCCCGGUUGCGAAGGCAGCGUACCGGCUCCACACUGACGCUGAGGCACGAAAGCGUGGGUAUCGAACAGGAUUAGAUACCCUUGUAGUC